UGAGGAAUAUUGGGCAAUGCCCGCAAGGGUGACCCAGCAACGCCGCGUGGAGGAUGAAUGUCGUAAGAUCGUAAACUCCUGUUAGAGGGGAAGAAUAGUACCGGUUGGACCGGUAUAUGACUGUACCCUCAGAGAAAGCCCCGGCUAACUACGUGCCAGCAGCCGCGGUAAUACGUAGGGGGCAAGCGUUGUCCGGAUUUACUGGGUGUAAAGGGCGCGCAGGCGGGAUAAAAAGUCAGUGGUGAAAUCCUACAGCUUAACUGUAGAACUGCCUUUGAUACUUUUAUUCUUGAGUUCGGGAGAGAGAGACGGAAUUCCAGGUGUAGUGGUGAAAUACGUUGAUAUCUGGAAGAACACCAGUUGCGAAGGCGGUCUCUUGGUCCGACACUGACGCUGAGGCGCGAAAGCGUGGGGAGCAAACA
rnacentral:rRNA from 1 species